rnacentral:rRNA from 1 species
CAGUAGCCGCGGUAAUACAGAGGGUGCAAGCGUUAAUCGGAUUUACUGGGCGUAAAGCGUGCGUAGGCGGCUAAUUGAGUCGGAUGUGAAAUCCCCGAGCUUAACUUGGGAAUUGCAUUCGAUACUGGUUAGCUAGAGUGUGGGAGAGGAUGGUAGAAUUCCAGGUGUAGCGGUGAAAUGCGUAGAGAUCUGGAGGAAUACCGAUGGCGAAGGCAGCCAUCUGGCCUAACACUGACGCUGAGGUACGAAAGCAUGGGGAGCAAACAGGAUUAGAUACCCCAGUAGUCCCUGUCUCUUAUAA